AUGAGAGAGAGAGAGUUGGAUUGAUUUCCGAUAAUUAGAAAACACCGGGAGCAUUCCCUAUUUAUAGAUGGCGUACGGAUGCAUUGUAGCCAUCCAUUCAUGCAUGAAGAGGGGCGUGAGAUCAACGGAGGCGUCAUUUGAUGAGAGGGCAUAUCAAAAAGUGGUUAGGAUAAGAUCAAGCGCUUAUGAUAUGGCGCUUCAUUCCCUAAGCACCUCUUCAUGAAAUGCGCCGUACUCUUCCCUUCUUCUCACGCAUGAAAAAUAGGAACCAACCUUAUCCAUUCAUCAAGGGUUGAUGAUGAUCCAAAGGCCAUGAAAGAGGGCGCCACAUAUCCCUUAGGCGUGAUGAAGAGAGAAGAGAGGGAAUGGAUAAGAUCAAAUAAACGGUUCAUCCUUAUCCAUUUAAUCUUCACGUAUUCUCUCUCUUUCCUUCACCUAUUUUUCAUCUCCACGCCUCCCAAUGAUAUCCAUCACGUCAUCAUGAUCUCCCAUCAUCCUAUGAUGAAAAUCCAAUGGCUCCAAUUCAUGGUGCCAUCCAUUUGAUCCAUCUC
rnacentral:lncRNA from 1 species